AAUCAACGCUGGCGGCGUGCCUCAGACAUGCAAGUCGAACGAUUAAAGCUCUCUUCGGAGAGUGUAUAGAGUGGCGCACGGGUGAGUAACACGUAAGUAAUCUGCCUUUGAGUGGGGAAUAACAAUCGGAAACGAUUGCUAAUACCGCAUAAUGCAGCGGCAUCGCAAGAUGACAGUUGUUAAAGGAGCAAAUCCGCUUAAAGAGGAGCUUGCGGCAGAUUAGCUUGUUGGUAAGGUAACGGCUUACCAAGGCUACGAUCUGUAUCCGGUCUAAGAGGACGGUCGGACACACUGACACUG
rnacentral:rRNA from 1 species